GAUGAACGCUAGCGAUAGGCUUAACACAUGCCAGUCGAGGGGUAACGUGUUGGGAGCUUGCUUCCGAUGACGACGACCGGCGGAUGGGUGCGUAACGCGUAUGCAACUUGCCUCACAGUGGAGAAUAACCCGGAGAAAUCCGGACUAAUACUCCAUACACUCUUAAGUACGCCUGUACAUGAGAGGAAAGAUUUAUCGCUGUGAGAUAGGCAUGCGUCCUAUUAGGUAGUUGGUGAGGUAACGGCUCACCAAGCCGACGAUAGGUAGGGGUGCUGAGAGGCAGAUCCCCCACAUUGGGACUGAGACACGGCCCAAACUCCUACGGGAGGCAGCAGUGAGGAAUAUUGGUCAAUGGAGGAAACUCUGAACCAGCCAAGUCGCGUGAAGGAAGAAUGUCCUAAGGAUUGUAAACUUCUUUAGCGAGCGAGUAAGGACUUCCACGUGAUGGGAGUUUGAAAGUAGCUCGAGAAUAAGUAUCGGCUAACUCCGUG
rnacentral:rRNA from 1 species